GAGCACGAGAAGUUUGGCCCCAGCGGUCUGAAAUAUUCUCAUUAGGACGUGGGCUAGGUGCCUGCUUCCUGCACAGCUAGGUGCCUGGCAAGGUUCAUUAGGAACUGUCGGGACUCAUACGGGCAAGCAUGGUGGGGGAGGGAGCCGAGAGAGAUCCGCGUGCCCACAGGGCACGUUCCGAGGUGCCAAAGAGGCCAAUUCCAUCCCCAACCAGCCCGUUGCCGGGAACCAGCUGGAAAACGGAAUGAUCGGUCAGCCUCGGUUUGGGACGAAGGCAGCGGUCAUGGCCUCAACCGCUGGCCUAGACACCUGGCUUCUAGGGCCCGCCCGCCGGGCAAACCCGUCUCUGUGGUCUGCAGUUCCUGAAAUAGCUCCAAAGCAAUACAGGUGGAGGAAGAGUCUUUUGUUAUUGCUCACCAGCCCCUUUCAACUGCACCUGUGAAGGAGGUGACUUUUGGAAAGCACCUAGAGUGAAUCUAGAUGUUUAAGAGAAGCAAAUGUGAACCUGUCUUCUGACCUCUGUGAGACCUCAAGUAGGUGAAAAGAAGUACUGAAGGUCACUAACAGGGAAGUUGGAAGUAUCUGGACUUUAACCUGCAAUUGCACGUUUUGUAACAGAACCAACAUUUUUGGACAAAAUCACCGUCGUGAACUUUGCAGUUGUUGGCUCCGAGGGAACCCUCUAAACAAAUGUGUACGUGGCUCUGGGGAUCAUGACAUCUUAGAGGCAUCUUUUUCAAUUCCCAUUUUACUGAAGAGAAAGCUGAAGUCCAGCUGGGGUUGGUGACAUUCUGUAGUCAAACUUCCGCAUUUCUUGAAUAUGUAAAAUAUCUUAGAGUUCAAGAUCGUGUUUGCAGCUUUGGGUGCAUUACCUGGGAGCUGGAUCAGAUCUGGAGAAGCCAGGACUUGAACCACGCCCAUAUUGGAUACAGCAUUGAAGGCAAUGGGGGUUGACCUGCUACACCAUGGCUCCGGCCCCAAAAUAAGUGUUCUUUAUGGACCUUUUUAAAAUUAGGAAGCAAAAAGAAGUCAGAAGGAAUCAAGUCAGGACAAUCAGUGAAUACCUAGUAAUUUCCCAUCAAAACUCUCACAAAAUUGCCCUUGCUUGAUGAGAGAAAUGAGUAGGGACAUUGCUAUGCUGGAGAAGGACUCUGGUGAGAGCAGAUGAAAGUCGACACACAAAUACCUGGAGCUGCACAUCCCCAGAAAUCGCUGCCAUGAGCGUUGCUCUUGACCAGUCCACUUUUGCUUUGACUGGAUUAUUUUUCCACCUCUCGGUAGCCAUUGCUUUGAUUGUGCUUUGUCUUCAGGACUGCACAUUUAAGGCCAUGUUUGAUCUUUUAACAUUCUUCAAAGAAAUGCUUCAGGGUCCUAAUCCCAUUUUUUUUUUUUUUUUUGACAGGCAGAGUGGACAGUGAGAGAGACAGAGAGAAAGGUCUUCCUUUUUCCGUUGGUUCACCCCCCAAUGGCCACUGCGGCCGGUUGCACUGCGCUGAUCCGAAGCCAGGAGCCAGGUGCUUCUCCUGGUCUCCCAUGGGGUGCAGGGCCCAAGCACUUGGGCCAUCCUCCACUGCACUCCUGGGCCACAACAGAGAGCUGGACUGGAAGAGGAGCAACCGGGACAGAAUCCGGCGCCCUGACAGGGACAGGAACCCGGUGUGCUGGCGCCGCAGGUGGAGGAUUAGCCUAGUGAGUCAUGGUGCUGGCCUAUCCCAUUGUUUUAAAUUUUGUAAAUUUAGAAGCUCUGCUUCUGUCUGCAGCUGAUCUGGAGCAACAUUGGACAACCAUAGAGCAGAAACCAUACUCCACUUACAUUUCUCCCAGAGUUGUGAAAGCUGAACUACCUGGGAUGUGUUUGAUGUUGGCUAUUGUUUCUGCUCUUAAACAUCAGUUCUCUUCAAUUUAGGUACAAACCAGAUGAAUGUUUUCCUUACAAAUUGAGGAGGAUGUCUUCCUGCUAACGCUUCAUCUUGAACAUUGUCUCGUUCUUUCUUGAAAUGAAUUAUUUACUUGUAAGCUACUAACUUCAUUGGGGCAUUGUCUCUAUAAGGUUUUCAUGAAGGACCAAUGAUUCUUCCAUUCAAGUUUCAUCAUGAAUUUAUUGGUUUUUUAUUUUAUUUAUUUGAGAAGUAGAGUCACAGAGAGAGGGAGAGACAGAAAGAAACAUCUUCUGUCCACUGGUGCACUCCUGAAAUGGCUGCAAUGCCCAGAGCUGAGCCAAUCUAAAGCUAGGAGCCAGGAGCUUCUUCCGCAUCUCCUAUGUGGGUUCAAGUGCACUGGGCCAUCUUUUACUGCUUUCCCAGACCAUAGCAGGGAGCUGGAUUGGAAGUGGAGCAGCUGGAACUCCAACUGGUGCCCACGUGAGAUGCCAGGCCACAGGCAGAGGCUUAACCUACUAUGCCACAACACUGGCCCCAUGAAUUUAAUGCUUGUUCUUGCAUCAACUUUAGCAGAAUUUACAUUGGUCUGAUAAGGACAGUCUUCUUGGCCUUCUUGUACUUCAAAUUAGAUCCUGUCCAAGCACGUUAUAUAACUAGUAUUGCAAGCUUAUUCUGGUGCAAAAGAAUUUAAAGUCUUUUCACAGCUUUUUCAUAAUUUGCAUUUUUGAUGACCCUUCAUAAAAGCACCUAACUCCAAUUUGGGGAAGGUAAAGAGAUACUUUAUGUUAGUUUUGAUGAAGUGAGUUGUGCUAGAUUUUUAUAUAAAGACCACCUCUGGUUCAGGGAAUGGCCUGGACAAAGGCAUGGAGGUAGGAAAGGCGUGGCAUGGAGGACUGCUUUGCAUUCUUUGUGGUGGGCCUGUAGGAAUGCAUGUGGGAAGUCCAACACUGCCUGCAGAAAUUGGAUUCUGGCCAAAAGAAAGCCACUGGGGUCAGCUCACACUGCUACUUUGUUAGAUCCACAGUGCACAAAAGGGCAGGAGCAGUCAUAUUUUCAGUGAGUCACAUGUAAGUGGCCGCAUGUUUGCCCAGGUCUUGCCCUCAAGGUACUAAGUCUUGAGUGAUCAUUUGGCACAGCAGUUAAAAUGCCACUCGAGGAGCCAGUGCUGUGGUAUAGAAAGCUAAGCUUCCACCUACAGUGUCAGUAGCCCAUAUGGGCACUGGUUUGAGUCCUGGCUGCUCCACUUCUGAUCCAGCUCCCUGCUAAUGUUCCUGGGAAAGCAGUGGAAGAUGGCCCAAGUGCCUGGGCCCCUCCUGCCCAUGCUAGCCCUGGCCAUUGCCACCAUCUGGGGAGUAAAUCAGCAGUGGAAGGUCUCUCUGUCUCUCUUUCUGUGGCUCUUUCAAUGAAUACAUAAAUCUUAAAAAAGAAAGAAAGAAAGAAAUACAGGUGAAAAUAGGCUUCUCAUCCAGGUUGGAGAUGGUGCCUUUUGGGACCCUUGGUGCCUGUCUUCCAGAUUCAGCAGAGUCUAAGUUUGGCCUUGAACAGCUCUGGGAUGGGCACCAUGGCACACAGCUCCAGGAUGGCCCACUGCAUAUCAGGUGAGCUGGGGCAGUUGGUGUGCCUUUGGAGUUGGCAUUUGGGUGGGGCAGCACCCUUUGUCCAAGGAGAAGAUGGCAAAGGCUAGAGGCAUCUCUCUCCAACAGGGAGCCCAUUAGCUGACUUCACACUCAGGCCCAUGCAACUGAAUCCUGAGAACUUCCAACUGCAGGCAUCUGUUUGCCCCAGGCCAGUGGCAAGGUAUCAGUUUCAGCUUUCAAGAUUUGACAUUAAAGUCCAAGAGUGGGCCAAGCACCUAAUAAGUCACCUGUUCACAUGUGCAACCUUGGGAUGUUUCUCCUUAAGGACCGUAAGGAGAGCAUCAUCAAGGCCCUGCUGGGAUGCUCUGAACUGUUCUAGGUGGCUCGUCUUACAGUCUUACAGUCUGUCCUGAUGGGGAGAACCUGUACAACGUCUCCUGAAAAUAAUUCCAGGGUCUGGCUCUGUGGUGCAGUAGGUUAGUCCUCUGCCUGUAGUGCUGGCAUCCUGUAUGGGCACAGCUUUGAGACCUGGCUGCUCCUCUUCUGAGCUAGCUCUCUGCUGUGGCCUGGGAAAGCGGUGGAAGAUGGCACAAAUGCUUGGGCCCCUGCACCCUCAUAGGAGAUAUGGAAGAAGCUCCUGGCUCCUGGCUUCGGAUUAGCUCAGCUCUGGCUCUUACGGCCAUUUGGGGGAGUGAACCAGCAGAUGGAAGACCUUUCUCUCUGUCUCUUCAUCUCACUGUCUGUAAUUCUUUUUUAAUUUGACAGGCAGAGUUAGACAGUGAGAGAGACAAAAAGAAAGGUCUCCUUCCGUUGGUUCACCCCCCAAAUGGCCACUACGGCCCGUGUGCUGCGCCGAUCCAAAGCCAGGAUCCAGGUGCCUCCUCUUGGUCUUCCAUGUGGGUGCAGGGGCCCAAGUACCUGGGCCAUCCUCCACUGCAUUCCUGAGCCACAGCAGAGAGCUGGACUGGAAGAGGAGCAACCGGGACUAGAAUCCAGUGCCCAUACGGGAUGCUGGCGCCACAGGUAGAGGAUCAACCAAGUGAGCCACGGUGCCGGCCCUCACUGUCUGUAAUUCUACCUCUCAAAUAAAUAAAUAAAUAAAAUAUUUUUUUAAAAAAAGAAAAUUCCAUUUGCCUUCAUUUGCUCUGAAGCUUUAGGAUCUUCAGUGAAAGUUUUGUUCAUGCGUCAUAAAAGUGAAUCAUUUCAAAAGCUAAAAAAAGAAGUCUAUGACACGCUCUAAAGAAAAUUAUUCAGUAUUAACCUGAUCAACACCUCCUACUCACUCAGCAUCUUAUGUAGAUCAGAAUGCUGGAGUGGGAAGGCAUCCCAGGGAAGAUCAGCCUCCUGGGCUCAGUUAGGGGGACCUAACCCUGUGCAUAAUGACACAAGGCAACAGCAGGGCUGGUGCUGAAGCCCACAACUUAUAAGCACGUUUUUCUCUUCCCUCUGUGAGCAGCCUCCAGCGUGCACAAUGUUGUCAAACUCCCUGAGCCACAGCUCACCCUGUUCACUUCCUCCGGGCCCUUGCAGUCAUCAGCCCGGCUUGG